GACGAACCGUGCGAACGUUAUUCGGAUUCACUGGGCUUAAAGGGCGCGUAGACGGGCGACCGCGUCGAUGGCUGAAAGCCCCCGGCUCAACCGGGGAACGGGCCUCGAUACGGGUCGCCUCGAGUGGAGGAGGGGGACCUGGAACUUCCGGUGGAGCGGUGAAAUGCGUUGAGAUCGGAAGGAACAUCAGUGGCGAAAGCGACUUCCUGGACCAGUACCGACGUUCAGGCACGAAAGCGUGGGGAGCAAACAGG
rnacentral:rRNA from 1 species